AAAGGUGUUAGAUGAAAUGUCUGAACCACUAAUUCCAGAGAUUUGUGGCUA
rnacentral:sRNA from 1 species